CUUUAACCAGUCCCGCGAGCAGCAGGCAGAAGCCACUGCCAACAUUUCCAGCCCCAGUGCCAAGAGUUCCCCUCACUGCGUGAACAGGUGGGCUCAGGAUUCAACCAGCUACGUUCAGACACCUCUGGUUGCUCAUGAAUAUUAUGGAGCUGUGAGACCGUGGAGCAAAGCCACAUUCACGGACCUGCUCUGUCUAUGGAGUGCUCACACUAUUUUGGUGACAUGGCUAUGAAAUACUUCCCUGGGAUCUGCUAGUCUAUCCACAUUCACAUCUGAAUAUGAAGAAAUACAUCCUCCUACAGUCACUUGCAUCACACCUGGGAGUCAUAAUGGUUAUCUAUUUUGAUGCCUGCACAAUCCCCAAGUCAAUUCUGACUUUCUUUGGAAAACAUCGCCGUUUGCCUCAAAGCCUAUGAGAUUUCGUUCCCAGGACUUGGGACUGAGACCCAGGAAGUCAAAACAUCUGAACGGGUGCCAUGCAUUCAGCUGCAGAACCCCAUGGAUAGAGGAACCCAGCAAGCCGUGGCCCAGGGGGUCACAGAGAGUUGGGCACGAUGAAGGCAAGAGCACGCACGCUUGUACCAGGCACAGCAGGAGCAAGACCUCAGAGGGAAAGAGAACUGCAUUUCUUUAUAAUUUCCCGAAAAGACUGACUGGUUUGGAAAAUCACAAGAAGAUCACGGAGAAUGAGAACACAGAGUUUGCAAAGUAAACUAUAGAGUCUAGAAAGCAUGCCACCCAAUAACCUUUUGGGGGAAAAGAGGGUUUUUGCUACAAUACUUCUCAAGCAAAACCCAAGAAGAUUGCAGCCCUCUUAGGUGCUGGAGUAACAGAUGCUUGGGUGGAAAAUUAGCAAUGGCCAAAGGAAGAAUAAGCUUAAAGGCAAUUUCUGAAACCUGAAGACCCUGACCUAUGAGUCCCAGUGGUGGCACAGAAGCACCUGCUGAGGGGGAACCAGAAGAGGC